GUCUCCAGCCUGGUGGGAGCCGUUGGCUUUACUCAAAUUAGGGACUCAGGUCAGACCUGCAGUCAUGGUUAGCACGGAUGAGGGCGAAGGAAACAGCAGUGGCCCAGUGCGGGAUGGACGAACGGAAGGUGUCUUUCCCCAAGCCAGACCCACCCCUUGUUCUCAGGAGGCAGACCCUGGACCUAGGAACUCCAUCCCUCUGUUUGAAGCUGCUUAGGAGGCCAUGUGGUGCCAGCCGCUGGCCCUGCCCGGUGUCCCCCCACCCCUGUGCCAUGGCCGGCUGGGGUUCCUGGGGAUGGGAUUUGCUGCCUGUCACAAAUCACAUUGCCAGGGAUUUCCAACCGACCCUGAGCCCUGCCUCUGGGGCCGCUGCUGUCACUGCCACUACCGAGGACCCCGACCCAGGGAUAGGGAUGGGGAUGGGGUGGCAGAGAGGCCCCCACCACCUGCGUCUGGCCUGGGGAGCAGGGCUUAGCUGCUUGUGAGCAGGUCCACAGCAAGUGUGUUCACAGUGGCUAAGUUCCGCCCCCCACGGCCCCGCCUCCUCUGGCCCUGCCACCUCUCCCCUGGGCCUGCCUGUCCCACCGCCCGGGCCUCCCUGGGCUCUGCCUCCCGUGCCUACUGAGCUGAAACACAGUUGAUUUGUGCAGACUGGCUCAGUUCAGCAGGAACAGGAGUCGAGCCCCCUUGGAGUCUGUGGCCCUUGCCUUCCCUGGAUGGGCCAGUCGCUGCCUAGGGGAAGAGAUGAGGACCCGGCCCCAGACCUGUGUCUGGAGGAAAUUGGAGAUGGGUGGGGCCUCAGAUGGGUGAACUCAGCUGUCUGCUGCAGGCCCCCUCCUCCAAUUCUGCACUUCAGAACCCCCACACAGUCCCAUCACAGGCUGGGCUGUGCUUGCAGGGAGGAUGGGGAGAUGGGCAGGUGGGUGGCCCUUCCAUGAAAAAGGGAAGCCAGCAGUGCCCUGCCUUGCCGACCCUCGGCCCCUCCUCUCCCAAGGCUGGUUGGGGCACUGCUGGCCCGAACCUUCACAGCAGCCAGUUACCCAAGAGGAAGCUGCCUUGGGCCCCCCAGACCGUUAAAUGCCAACUCCGGGCUUCCGGAACCAGGCUGCCUGCCCUGACCCUGCCUGGCCCCUUCUCCCUGGGCCCUGCAGCUUCCUAACUUGGAAGAGGAGCCAUGACACCCUCCUGACACAUGGGACAGGGAAUGAGGUCCCUGUGGGCCCAGAAAGGAGAUCAGCAGGCCUGCUUUGUCCUUGGGUGGUCCCAGCGCAUGGAAGAAUUGAGACUCUGUCCUUGAUCAGAUAGAGUAGGGCUUUUUUGGGGAUGAGACUGGGAGGCAGAGUGAAGCCCCCCAGGCUGUCAGGGUUGACCCAGUGUACGCUUUCCCCAUCGGGGCAGGAGCAGACAACAGCUUGGGGUAGACUCUACGCGCCACAUGUUGAGCCUUUCUUUUGUCCAAUUAAAUAAAAGCUGCCUGCCUCAUUCUGAA